rnacentral:rRNA from 1 species
AUACGGGGGGUGCAAGCGUUAAUCGGAAUUACUGGGCGUAAAGCGCGCGUAGGCGGUUAGAUAAGUUGGAUGUGAAAUCCCCGGGCUCAACCUGGGAACUGCAUUCAAAACUGUUUAACUAGAGUAUGGUAGAGGGAAGUGGAAUUCCAGGUGUAGCGGUGAAAUGCGUAGAUAUCUGGAGGAACAUCAGUGGCGAAGGCGACUUCCUGGACCAAUACUGACGCUGAGGUGCGAAAGCUAGGGGAGCAAACGGGAUUAGAAACCCGAGUAGUCC